UCUCCGUUGGUGAACCAGCGGAGGGAUCAUUACCGAGUUUACAACUCCCAAACCCCUGUGAACAUACCAUUUGUUGCCUCGGCGGUGCCUGCUUCGGCAGCCCGCCAGAGGACCCAAACCCUUGACUUUAUACAGUAUCUUCUGAGUAAAUGAUUAAAUAAAUCAAAACUUUCAACAACGGAUCUCUUGGUUCUG
rnacentral:misc_RNA from 1 species